GCCCGGUUAGCUCAAUCGGUAGAGCGUGAGACUCUUAAUCUCAAGGUUGCGGGUGAGUUACCACCUAAGUAUAUUCAAUGCACGAAUACGUUCAACUAUAAUACUGACAAUCUUGGCAGGUUCGACCCCCGCAUCGGGCU